rnacentral:rRNA from 1 species
UAACGCCGAUGGUAGUGUGGGGUUUCCCCAUGUGAGAGUAGGGCAACAUCAGG